rnacentral:lncRNA from 1 species
GGCCGGGAGGAUCUCGGAGGGAGUCUCAGCUCAGGGAAACCGAGGGCGUCCACCUGUGGGAGCCAGAGCUCCCCUCGUGGUACGCUUGCCGAACCCAAACUUCGCAGCCUGAGCCGCGGAAGCGCCGCCUAGGUGGGACCCGACGGUGGGAGGGGUCGCCUGAGAGUGCGGCGGGUGGCAGGACCCAGUCCUGUAUCCUGAUCAACUACAGGAUCAUUCUAUAACUUGGAGACAGUCCCCAA